rnacentral:rRNA from 1 species
AUUGAACGCUGGCGGCAUGCUUUACACAUGCAAGUCGAACGGUAACAGGCCUUCGGGUGCUGACGAGUGGCGCACGGGUGAGUAAUGCAUCGGAACGUACCCAGAGGUGGGGGAUAACGCAGCGAAAGCUGUGCUAAUACCGCAUGUGAUCUGAGGAUGAAAGCGGGGGACCGAGCAGCAAUGUUUGGCCUCGCGCCUUUGGAGCGGCCGAUGUCGGAUUAGCUAGUUGGUGGGGUAAAGGCCUACCAAGGCGACGAUCCGUAGCUGGUCUGAGAGGACGACCGGCCACACUGGAACUGAGACACGGCCCAGACUCCUACGGGAGGCAGCAGUGGGGAAUUUUGGACAAUGGGCGCAAGCCUGAUCCAGCAAUGCCGCGUGCGGGAAGAAGGCCUUCGGGUUGUAAACCGCUUUUGGCAGGAACGAAACGGUGUCCGCUAAUACCGGGCGCUAAUGACGGUACCUGCAGAAUAAGCACCGGCUAACUACGUG